rnacentral:tRNA from 1 species
CAAAUUAGAGCUUGAAUUAUAAGUGUUUCAUUUACAUUGAAGGGAUAUUAUGUUAAUAAUUAAUUUGA